rnacentral:rRNA from 1 species
AGACAGCAGUCGCCGCGGUAAUACGUAGGCAGCGAGCGUUGUUCGGAAUUACUGGGCGUAAAGAGUGUGUAGGCGGUGCUCUAAGUUCGGUGUGAAAUCUCCUGGCUUAACUGGGAGGGUGCGCCGGAAACUGGAGUGCUCGAACGUGGGAGAGGAAAGCGGAAUUCCUGGUGUAGCGGUGAAAUGCGUAGAUAUCAGGAGGAACACCUGCGGUGUAGACGGCUUUCUGGACCAUUGUUGACGCUGAGACACGAAAGCGUGGGUAGCAAACAGGAUUAGAUACCCCCGUAGUCCCUGUCUCUUAUAC